AUAAGUGUAAGACGUAUAGUUAAUUAAUACUGUAUUUUAGCCAGAAGGUUUAACAGAUGAUGAUGAAGAGGAGGAUCAGAACAGUGAAUACAGCACAACAGAAGGCAGCAUGGGAGAUGAAUCAGAGGUAGAAGAAGAAGCUCUUAUAUCAUCUGGAUCAUCAGAGAAGCAGGAUGAUAAUCUUGCUAAGACUGGUGAUUCCAACAGCACUGGGGCGUUAGUGGGAAUACGAAUGCAGGAAGCAAAAAGGCAGUUUGCUCGAAAGUCAAUACAAGUGAACCUGUACAAGAUGUUGAGAUUAUCAAUGCAACUGCUCUUAUGAAGUUUACUUCAGGGGGAUCCGAACAUAAACAAGCAGGACACUG